AAUCCUGUAGCACAAUUGGCAGUGCGUCUGUUUUUGGAGCAGAAGGUUAUUGGUUCAAAUCCAAUCAGGAUUA
rnacentral:tRNA from 1 species